UACAGAGGUCUCAAGCGUUGUUCGGAUUCAUUGGGCGUAAAGGGUGUGUAGGUGGCGCCGUAAGUCGGGUGUGAAAUUUCGGAGCUUAACUCCGAAACUGCAUUCGAUACUGCGGUGCUUGAGGACUGGAGAGGAGACUGGAAUUCAUGGUGUAGCAGUGAAAUGCGUAGAUAUCUGGAGGAACACCGGUGGCGAAGGCGGCAUCCUGGACCGAGAUUGACGCUGAGGCGCGAAAGCCAGGGGAGCAAACGGG
rnacentral:rRNA from 1 species